rnacentral:rRNA from 1 species
UUCCGUUGGUGAACCUGCGGAAGGAUCAUUG